UGUGUCUCGUGCAGAGAGCGCGUGCACGGCUGCAAAGCAGAAAAACUAAUGUGUAACCAACAGGGAGGGAGAAAACACAUAGAAUUUGAGCUGAAUUACUGUGGAAGCGUGCUGAAGUGAAGAGUACUUGUUGCUUUCCUUGAUUGUUUACUGAGACAUUCUGUCAUGCAUCAACUCUUCAGCUUCUGGUUCUUCUGUUUUUGAGAACCUGGACGUUAUUUCUGGGGAAAUGCUAGGACCUAGACUUUACUCCAUGCACAUUGUCCGGGAUUGAGACAUCUUUCUUACAUUUUUUUUUGUAUCUCAGGAAAAGGGGAAAAAACUGAACAUUUACACACUGAUACUUAUUGAGCCUUUUCGAAAUGUUUGGGUUGUAAUUGUAUUGUUUAUAUUUGUUUCAAAUUAAUUGUCAGUUAUUUUCAUUAAUUGGGUUUUCUGAAGUGCCAGAAAGGGGAAAAAAGCAUUCACAUAUGCUGCUACAAUAUACAUUCCUGGUUUACCGUUUUUUUGUGUUUGGCACUGAUUUCAUUUGUUUUAAUGUCUCCCUUUUAUGAAGCUUUCAGUUUUUUUUUUCUUCGAACUUGAGUAUUUAACUAACACAUGCCCUAAAAGCUCCUUGAACGAAUUUAGAGGAACAGCAAUUAGAUUUAGAUAAGCCCUGAGACAGGGGAUACAUGUGCACAGUGUGUGUGGCCGCCAGGCAAAACAGGCUCGUUUUCUUUACCGAUUUGUUUAAAACAGGACAGGAAAACAAUUUAGCACAGGAGACUUGACAAAUGCAUCAUGCUGUGAUCUUGCUGCGAAGGUCUAAUUACUCUCUUAUUCUCUCUCUCUAAUCUCAAUAUAUAUCCCACAUUACAGUCUCAGUGUCUGUUCUGAGAGAUUUUAUUUGCUGAUGUAUAACCAGAGGUAGGGACAUGAUGUCUGUGAGGUGCUUCUCACAAUGUUUAUUAAUCAGUAAUUGUUUUUCAUCCGAUCUGGACUAAGCAGUCGACUGAAGGAACGCAGUGUACUGUGUCUGGGGGGGAAAAUUUUUAUUUUUUAAUUUUUUUUUUAUCAGGCUUUGGAUUGAUUAAGUUAACUAAAGAUAUAUGUGUGUAAUACAAACCAUUCCAACGGUACAGAAAACUGCCUAUUAUAUAUGUACUGCAGAUUUAAUGCCAAAUAGAGAAUGUCACAGUGUGGCAAGGCAAUAAUAAAAAAAUUCAAUAGACAUAAAUCCUCCCCAAUCAAAGCCUUGGAAAUAAGAAUGAAACCUCAUUACGAGCACGGCUGUGUGUGAAUUCAUUUGACCGCCCCGCUUAAAUGAGUGCCUAUAAUCAAUAAAUGUCUUAAGCCAUACAUUUCCUAGCAAGAAAUUAACUGAUGUCUGCUCAGUUCUGUGGGAUUUUCAUCUCUCACUUAUAUCUUAAUAAAUUGACUCCUUGUAAAAUUUGUCAUAUAUGGAAAAAGUUCGGGUUGCCGAGACUUUGUGUUUGUAACCAAAAACUUAAAUGAGCAGAAACACCAUUGCAAGCUGCAACACUUCAGUUUUUCUGCCAGUUGCACUGUGAAAAUGUCUGGACAGCUAGAGGGAGAAAAUUGCCUUUGGCUGCUUGUGCGUUUUAAAAUAAGGGUCUAAAUAUUUUGGGUGGGAAAUACAGUGUAUAUAUAAACUGUUCUGCAUAUCAAACAACUGAAAACCAAGUUUGUUCUCAUUUAUUUUUGUCAUAUUUGUUCUAAAUUUCUUCAUGACUGGAAACAAUAUGCAGACCUCGCUUUAUGGAACAAAAUAAAAUGACAUUCAUUUAGGUGAAUUUCCAACAUUCAUUUAGAUUCAUUUUUAGUAACUGCCUGGUCAGGGUGCAGUGGGUUUAUUAGAUUUUUUUAUAUGGUUCAUAUACAUUAAUAUGACUAAAGGUUUGUGGACACCUGAGAUUCACACCUCCAUAACUUCCGCCAUUCCACAUUUAUUCCCCAUUUAUUAUUUGCUGUUAUAAGUUCAACUCUUCUGGGAAGGCUUUCUGCUAAAUGUUGGUGUGUGACUGUGUGGAUUUGUGUUCAUUCAUCCAGUAGAGCAUUAGUAAGAUUGGACUCUGAUAAGAAUGAGGAGGUCUGGAGUUCAGUCGGUGUUCCAGUUUAUCCCAAAGGUGUUCAGUGACGUUGAGUCAGAGUCAGAGCUCUGUGUGGGUUUCUUCUACUCUGCAAACCAUUUAGUCAAAGUGAGACGAUUCUGUGGGACAGGAAAUCAUGUGAUGGAUUUCCCUCCAUCCUAGCCAGCAAAAUUUGCAUUAAUUGUCACUAAACCUUGCCAGACUUGUGGAAUGAUCUGCCCCUCAUCAGAGAAAAGAUACGUUUUGUCCUGUCACGAGUACCAGAAACAGCACCAUGGCUGAAUUCAUGCAUACACACUUUCCCCAUUAUAUUCUCAUCAGUGAACAUUCUAGUGUGACAGGCUGUUUAAGAAACACAGCUCGGUUCUAAUGAGGUAGGACUGUGCACUUCGGAUUUGCUUUGACACUGGAAAUCACCAUCAAGUCCAUUAGACUGUCAGUCCAUCUAGCAACUAAUGAUCCUAGGGACCAAUGGUAUAGCGUGUGGGUGGAUUAUGGGCACAUGAACAUUGCACAAGACUCAUUAUGGGCUUUUCUGGCUCAGGGUCUCGGUGCUGUCGAUCUGAAUGUUAAAUCAUGUUUCUUAUUUUGUGUAUAGUGCAAACAUUUGCACACCUUGAGAUUUAGAAUGAUGAAAUCAACACUGACUUCUGGCUUCACCGAAAUUCCUAUAAAGCAAAUAAUGUACCUUUUAAGAUAUGAUUUUUUUUCUGUGAUUUUAUUAUUUUUCGUCUGCUCCAUGUUCAAGGUCAGCACAGUGCAUCAUUUUGUCUGCAUAUUAGAUUUGGCUCAUUUUAUCUUGGCUUGGCAACCGGCCCUGAGACUUAACUCUUCGGUGUCUGGGUUAUCUCUCUGCCCAGUCGCCUCAGUCACUUCAUGCUUUUGUUAAUUUGGGAUAAAUACAAACACAUUUAAAUAUAAGUAUAAUAUUAAUCUCGAUUCUUUGUAUAAUAUUAAAGUUUUUGUACCAUGUUUCUUAUAUUCUGUAAAGCUGCUAUGAGGCAAUGUCCAUUGAUAGAAGUGCAAUACUAAUAAAACCGAAUUGAUUUGAAUUGAUGAGUGCUACAGAAAAUGGAUUUCUCAUUGAUAUGACAAUGACUCCAUCUGUAAAAUAAGAAAAUGAGCGUGUUUUUAGUUGCUAACAGCAAACGCUGACAGUUCAUCAUGUAUGAGAUUGUUUUUGCCAUUAUACCGUAAAUACAACACUACCCAACAAAUUAGCAGCAGAAUCAUUCACACACAUCACAAAUGUUUCAGUAAAUAAACAUACAGUAUGUAAUGUGUUUCAUCAAAUUAGGCACAUAUAAUUGAAUUAACCAGAGCAUGUAAACAUGGAUGCUAAUAAAGAUAACCGCUGGGGGACUCUAUUGCUGUAAUAUUUAGGCUGUUGAGUUUAAUGGCUUUUCAAUUGAAUACAGUUUUGUAGAUAAACAGUGUAAUAAAGGUUUGACAUUUUC